GAGUUUGAUCCUGGCUCAGAUUGAACGCUGGCGGCAGGCUUAACACAUGCAAGUCGAGCGGAAACGAUGGUAGCUUGCUACCAGGCGUCGAGCGGCGGACGGGUGAGUAAUACUUAGGAAUCUACCUAGUAGUGGGGGAUAGCACGGGGAAACUCGUAUUAAUACCGCAUACGACCUACGGGAGAAAGGGGGCAGUUUACUGCUCUCGCUAUUAGAUGAGCCUAAGUCGGAUUAGCUAGAUGGUGGGGUAAAGGCCUACCAUGGCGACGAUCUGUAGCUGGUCUGAGAGGAUGAUCAGCCACACCGGGACUGAGACACGGCCCGGACUCCUACGGGAGGCAGCAGUGGGGAAUAUUGGACAAUGGGGGAAACCCUGAUCCAGCCAUGCCGCGUGUGUGAAGAAGGCCUUUUGGUUGUAAAGCACUUUAAGCAGUGAAGAAGACUCCGUGGUUAAUACCCACGGACGAUGACAUUAGCUGCAGAAUAAGCACCGGCUAACUCUGUGCCAGCAGCCGCGGUAAUACAGAGGGUGCAAGCGUUAAUCGGAAUUACUGGGCGUAAAGGGAGCGUAGGUGGCUCGAUAAGUCAGAUGUGAAAUCCCCGGGCUCAACCUGGGAACUGCAUCUGAUACUGUUGAGCUAGAGUAUGUGAGAGGAAGGUAGAAUUCCAGGUGUAGCGGUGAAAUGCGUAGAGAUCUGGAGGAAUACCGAUGGCGAAGGCAGCCUUCUGGCAUAAUACUGACACUGAGGCUCGAAAGCGUGGGUAGCAAACAGGAUUAGAUACCCUGGUAGUCCACGCCGUAAACGAUGUCUACUAGUCGUUGGGUCCCUUGAGGACUUAGUGACGCAGCUAACGCAAUAAGUAGACCGCCUGGGGAGUACGGCCGCAAGGUUAAAACUCAAAGGAAUUGACGG
rnacentral:rRNA from 1 species